rnacentral:misc_RNA from 1 species
UGAUCAUAUCAAAAUCGUAUUUCGAUUUUGGAAGUUGGGCCUUUUUGAUGCUGGAAUAAUUGUUCUAGCUGGCCUGAAAUUUGCAAAUAGCAAUGCAGGAAAAUCAGCAGGUUUCAUUUCAAGACGAAAAGCUUAUUAGUUGAUUCUGGUCAUGUUUGCUGAUUAGUCUUUGAACAGCAUGUGAAUCUGCAUCAUA